rnacentral:miRNA from 1 species
CGGGGGUGGCGGCGGGGG